CAACCUGGUUGAUCCUGCCAGUUUGUCAUAUGCUUGUUUCAAGGACUAAGCCAUGCAAAUGCCAGAGUACUUGCGUUUUACGCAGGGAGUCUGUGUACGGCUCAUUAAACGGUUUAUUGUCUGCCCAACGGAGAAGUGCCUUGUGCUCUUCCGAUGGGAUAACGAUCUCGAAAUGAAUCGCUAAUACCUGUAA
rnacentral:rRNA from 1 species